rnacentral:rRNA from 1 species
AGCGGCGUACGGGUGAGUAACACGUAGGUAAUCUCCCCUCGAGUGGUGGACAACUCUUCGAAAGGAGAGCUAAUACAGCAUAACACCAUGUGACUUCGGUCAUGUGGCCAAAGCGGGGGAUCUUCGGACCUCGUGCUUGAGGAUGAGCCUGCGGCCCAUCAGCUAGUUGGUGGUGUAAAAGACCACCAAGGCAAAGACGGGUAGCUGGUCUGAGAGGAUGAACAGCCACACUGGAACUGAGACACGGUCCAGACUCCUACGGGAGGCAGCAGUGGGGAAUCUUGCGCAAUGGGCGAAAGCCUGACGCAGCGACGCCGCGUGAGCGAUGAAGGCCCUCGGGUUGUAAAGCUCUGUGGAGAGGGAAGAAUAAGGGUACGUUAACACCGUGCUCGAUGACGGUACCUCUUUAGCAAGCACCGGCUAACUCUGUGCCAGCAGCCGCGGUAAGACAGAGGGUGCAAACGUUGUUCGGAAUUACUGGGCGUAAAGCGCGUGUAGGCGGCGGUGUAAGUCGGAUGUGAAAUCCCAUGGCUCAACCAUGGAAGUGCACCCGAAACUGCGCCACUAGAGUCUCGGAGAGGAAGGUGGAAUGCUUGGUGUAGAGGUGAAAUUCGUAGAUAUCAAGCGGAACACCGGUGGCGAAGGCGGCCUUCCGGACGAGUACUGACGCUGAGACGCGAAAGCGUGGGUAGCAAACAGGAUUAGAUACCCUGGUAGUCCACGCCGU